UUACACAAAAACGUGAUUUGACACAAAAUUCUUCUGAAUUUGUAACGAUGUUAGUGUAUGGUGGUGUUUGGAUAUUCUUUCCAGAAAAGCGUAAAUAAUAUACCUACCUUAUAUUCUUUAAUAGAAGAAUUAUUCACUCAUCUAGCAAAUAGUAAUAAUUUGGUUUUAGGAAAAAGGAAAUAAGCUUAAGUGAAACAGUUGUAUAUACAGUCUCUAAUGGUAACUUGAAAAACAGAAUAAAGUAAAAGGCACUGCAUAAGCAUUGGCGUAAUCCCGGUAUUGAUGGUUAUCGAAUCUAUCGUAGUAUUUUGACGUUCAUAUUAUCAGCUCCUUGAAAAAGAACUAAGUUUUCGAUGUCACCCUUUGGAUAUUAUUGUAUCUUCUAUCAGUAAACAUUAAUUGCUGCGUAAAUUAUUCUUACGUCGAAUUCCAGGAAUUUUUUGAUAGACUUAGGUCUCUUUUCCAGUCAUUGACGACAUAUCUUUCGUUACUUUCUUUCCCAGGAUAAGACAUUUAGUAUGAAAUAUAGCUACAAUUGUUUUUUUUUUAAUUUUCAGCUUCAAUGUGCCAACAUUUCCACUGUGAAGGAUAGUAA